AGAGGGUGCAAGCGUUAAUCGGACUUACUGGGCGUAAAGGGCGCGUAGGCGGAUGAUUGGGUCAGUUGUGAAAUUCCAGGGCUUAACCCUGGGCCUGCAAUUGAAACUGGUUGUCUAGAGUUGAACAGAGGGGGGCGGAAUUUCCGGUGUAGCGGUGAAAUGCGUAGAUAUCGGAAGGAACACCCGUGGCGAAGGCGGCCCUCUGGGUUCAAAACUGACGCUGAGGCGCGAAAGCGUGGGUAGCGAACAGGAUUAGAUACCCUGGUAGUCCACGCUGUAAACGAUGAGUACUAGCUGUUGGUGUCCCUUGAGGCAUCAGUAGCGGAGCUAACGCAUUAAGUACUCCGCCUGGGGAUUACGGCCGCAAGGCUA
rnacentral:rRNA from 1 species